CGGUUAAAAAGCUCGUAGUUGGAUCUCGGCAAGCAGGGGCCGGUUCGCUCCAUAGCGUUACUGGCCCAUUUGCUUGUGUGAUUGGCGGAGGUUUCGGGGUGCUCUUUACUGAGUGUCCCGGGGCGCCGUCAGGUUUACUUUGAAAAAAUUAGAGUGCUCAAAGCAAGCUUUUCACGCUUGAAUAUUCGUGCAUGGAAUAAUGGAAUAGGAACUCGUUUCUAUUUUGUUGGUUUUCGGAAAUCGAGUUAAUGAUUAAUAGGGACAAUUGGGGGCAUUAGUAUUCAGGCGACAGAGGUGAAAUUCUUGGACCGUCUGAAGACUAACCUACUGCGAAAGCAUUGCCA
rnacentral:rRNA from 1 species